rnacentral:ncRNA from 2 species
UCCGGAAAAAGGGGGUGCCUCUUUCAUGAGGCUGAGAUUAUACCCGAUGAACCUGAUACGGUUAGUACCGUCGUAGGGAGUUUUUUUGAGUAUCCGA